rnacentral:rRNA from 1 species
GACGAACCGAGAGAACGUUGUUCGGAAUCACUGGGCUUAAAGGGCGCGUAGGCGGGUGCUCAAGUCCGUGGUGAAAUCCUCCGGCUCAACCGGAGAACUGCCUCGGAUACUGGGCGUCUCGAGUGUGGUAGGGGUAUGCGGAACUAUCGGUGGAGCGGUGAAAUGCGUUGAUAUCGAUAGGAACUCCGGUGGCGAAGGCGGCAUACUGGACCACCACUGACGCUGAUGCGCGAAAGCCAGGGGAGCAAACGGG